rnacentral:sRNA from 1 species
CUCGACAAGCAGAUGUGUUUCCGGAUCGAGACCACUUUGGCCGUACAUUCUAUAAUCAGGCAAUUAUGUCUUCUAAAAAUAUUGCACAGGUUAAAGCGGCAACUGGGGAAGAAGUAUCUGCUGAGGAUCUUGGAGGUGCUGAUCUUCAUUGCAGAAAGUCUGGAGUAAGUGACCACUGUGCUUUGGAUGAUCAUCAUGCCCUUCACUUAACUAGGAAGGUUGUGAGGAAUCUAAAUUAUCAGAAGAAAUUGGAUGUCACCAUUGAACCUUCUGAAGAGCCUUUAUUUCCUGCUGAUGAAUUGUAUGGAAUAGUUGGUGCUAACCUUAAGAGGAGCUUUGAUGUCCGAGAGGUCAUUGCUAGAAUCGUGGAUGGAAGCAGAUUCACUGAGUUCAAAGCCUUUUAUGGAGACACAUUAGUUACAGGUAUAAAGGUGAAGAAUUGAAAAUACGAACAUUUUCUGCUGCUUUGAAAAUCAGGAAUCUCUUGUUUCAAGACUUUGAUACACUUGACAUGGGCUUUGUUGUUGAGAGCACUACAAAUGUGUGAGCCAGUUUUAAAAGGAACUGCUUUAUAAACAUAAUUUGUAGCUUAAUGGCUUCAUGGAUCCAAAUAGUUUAAAAUGUUAAUAGCUAGAUGCUGUGGUGUGGGUCCCUAUCUGUGACUUUGUGACAUUAGUUGUAUAAAAAGGUUCUUAUAGUAAAAUUAGUAGAAAAUA